UCUACAUAAUAAGUUGGCAGCAAAUCGGACAAAAAACCUUACAUUAAUGAAUGGCAAAAAUCUGGGGAAAACAUAAUUGUUUUACGAGGUUACAAUCAUAAACAUUUAAAAUAUCUUGAAGGCGAAGCGAGGUUUGCAGCCCUCGGUAAGCAUGCUAUUUAUCGACAGUGGUAUAAUAGCCGCGUAAUGUUAGUACUAUCGGUAUUUGGACGAAGGGAAGAAAUUGAGUAUAUCUUCGAUGGACUAUCACAUUUGCGAUAGCAGUAAGCAGACAUUAUUUUAUAAUAUCAACUUAAAGUUAUUUUUUUAAUUUAUUUUGUUUAAAAAUUCUAUUUCAAUACAUUUAUUGCGGAUGUAUUGAAGACAAUAUUUAUUAUUGUUUAAAUUAAGAUUAAACGUAGCAUUAAUGUAUUUUAACACAUGAAGAUAUUUUCAAUAAUUCUAUAACAUUUCGCUCAUUAUUACAAUCUUCUAGGUCAAUAGUUGCAGCUAAUAUUAAUAAAUGUAACUCAUAAAAUGAACAGGAAAAGAUAUAUAAAAAUUAUAUUUAAAAAUAGUCUUAAUUUAAAAUUUAUGUAAUCUCACUUAUUCUGCAUAAUAAAGACAUCGUUACAAAUCAGAGAUAAAGGAUCAUAACAAAGAAGCUGUAGAGCCGUUAUUCCGUCUUGCCUGGUACCAGAAUGGCCGGUAAAGAACGUACCGAUUGUGUCUUCGGCGAAAGUAACGUCUCAAUUGAACAUGGAUCGUGGACAGUUUGGACAAAUAUUCUCAUCAUCUUAGAAGCGUUACGUUAUGCAUAACUCGGCGAGUAAGGCAACGAAGAAAGUAAAGGAGACGUGUUAAAAGCACAAUAGGUUGCGAGUAAAGAGUGGUAGGCGCCACGCCCGCCCCUCCAUGCACGGCUUGGUCGCAGAGGGGGGGCGUCGGAGGAGAACGACUGGCGGUCGGCGCAGCCGCCCGCCGCGUUUUAUGCAACCAGUCUUGCUUCGGAGCGAGCGAAUCCACUGCCCCGGCCUUUGACAGACGGGAUAACGUGUGCAGUGCCAUCGUUAUUGUCCGCCGUCAUCCGUCGGACGUCUCUCAGCCCGUGUCGUGUGUACGUACGGCUCUCGUAACGUGCGUGCCCGCGGCUCUACGGCGCGAGGGGACGUCGCAACAACACCGGACACCUGAUACUCCGGUUUUCUCGCCGCGCUUUUGAGGCAGGUCGCGAGACGGGGCCUAUCUACGAGCCUGGCGUACGUAAUAUCACACCGCCGCCGUCCGCGUUUUCCCGUGCGCGCUGACUUUGCCGGCGAGGCGAGGAACGAGCGAACUCAGCGGCGUCUCUCGUCGAACGGCGACAAGGCGGUGUCGGCGGUGUUCGCCCGAUAUUGUAUCGCUCCGCGCAGAGCUGCGCCACACCACACGUACGAUUCACGAUCGCACCCUGCAGUGGUACAGUGUAGGCUCGUGUCCGCCGACGGAGUGUCAGUGCGACGGCGGCGGUCGGUGGUGUGCUGACACACGGGUGUAUUAUCUACGACUGUGUGUGUGUGUGUGUGUGUGUGCGUGCAUAUGUGCGUGACGUGUGCGUAAAGGCAGGAGAGCGACGGACCGGCGGUGAACGUGCAAGAGAAA
rnacentral:lncRNA from 1 species